rnacentral:rRNA from 1 species
AAACCAACUGGGAUUACCUUAGUAACGGCGAGUGAAGCGGUAAAAGCUCAAAUUUGAAAUCUGGUACUUUCAGUGCCCGAGUUGUAAUUUGUAGAAUUUGUCUUUGAUUAGGUCCUUGUCUAUGUUCCUUGGAACAGGACGUCAUAGAGGGUGAGAAUCCCGUUUGGCGAGGAUACCUUUUCUCUGUAAGACUUUUUCGAAGAGUCGAGUUGUUUGGGAAUGCAGCUCAAAGUGGGUGGUAAAUUCCAUCUAAAGCUAAAUAUUGGCGAGAGACCGAUAGCGAACAAGUACAGUGAUGGAAAGAUGAAAAGAACUUUGAAAAGAGAGUGAAAAAGUACGUGAAAUUGUUGAAAGGGAAGGGCAUUUGAUCAGACAUGGUGUUUUUAGCAUGCACUCGCCUCUCGUGGGCUUAGGCCUCUCAAAAAUUUCACUGGGCCAACAUCAAUUCUGGCAGCAGGAUAAAUCAUUAAGAAUGUAGCUACUUCGGUAGUGUUAUAGCUUUUUGGAAUACUGUUAGCCGGGUAUU